CAGUCGCCGCGGUAAUACGGAGGGUGCAAGCGUUAAUCGGAAUUACUGGGCGUAAAGCGCACGCAGGCGGUCUGACAAGUCAGAUGUGAAAUCCCCGGGCUUAACCUGGGAACUGCAUUUGAAACUGUCAGGCUGGAGUCUUGUAGAGGGGGGUGGAAUUCCAGGUGUAGCGGUGAAAUGCGUAGAGAUCUGGAGGAAUACCGGUGGCGAAGGCGGCCCCCUGGACAAAGACUGACGCUCAGGUGCGAAAGCGUGGGGAGCAAACAGGAUUAGAUACCCCAGUAGUUCCCUGUCUCUUAUA
rnacentral:rRNA from 1 species